rnacentral:tRNA from 3 species
GCUGAUAUAGCUCAGUAGGUAGAGCACUUCCAUGGUAAGGAAGAGGUCAUCGGUUCAAGCCCGAUUAUCAGCUCCA